AUUGAACGCUGGCGGCAGGCCUAACACAUGCAAGUCGAGCGAGCGGCGGACGGGUGAGUAAUGUAUGGGGAUCUGCCCGAUCGAGGGGGAUAACUACUGGAAACGUUGGCUAAUACCGCAUACUAUCGUAUGAACCCAUAGGGGAUUAGCUAGUAGGUGGGGUAAAGGCUCACCUAGGCGACGAUCUCUAGCUGGUCUGAGAGGAUGAUCAGCCACACUGGGACUGAGACACGGCCCAGACUCCUACGGGAGGCAGCAGUGGGGAAUAUUGCGCAAUGGGGGCAACUCUGACGCAGCAAUGCCGCGUGAAUGAAGAAGGCCUUCGGGUUGUAAAGUUCUUUUGGUAGCGAAGCGUUAACUACAGAGGAAGCACCGGCUAACUCCGUGCCAGCAGCCGCGGUAAUUC
rnacentral:rRNA from 1 species